rnacentral:rRNA from 1 species
UACAGGGGGGGGCAAGCGUUGUUCGGAAUUACUGGGCGUAAAGGGCUCGUAGGCGGCCAACUAAGUCACACGUGAAAUCCCCAGGCUUAACCUGGGAACUGCGUGUGAUACUGGAUGGCUUGAAUCCGGGAGAGGGAUGCAGAAUUCCAGGUGUAGCGGUGAAAUGCGUAGAUAUCUGGAGGAAUACCGGUGGCGAAGGCGGCAUCCUGGACCGGCAUUGACGCUGAUGAGCGAAAGCCAGGGGAGCAAACGGG